rnacentral:rRNA from 1 species
AUUGAACGCUGGCGGCAGGCUUAACACAUGCAAGUCGAGCGGAGAUGAGGUGCUUGCACCUUAUCUUAGCGGCGGACGGGUGAGUAAUGCUUAGGAAUCUGCCUAUUAGUGGGGGACAACAUUCCGAAAGGAAUGCUAAUACCGCAUACGCCCUACGGGGGAAAGCAGGGGAUCUUCGGACCUUGCGCUAAUAGAUGAGCCUAAGUCGGAUUAGCUAGUUGGUGGGGUAAAGGCCUACCAAGGCGACGAUCUGUAGCGGGUCUGAGAGGAUGAUCGGCCACACUGGGACUGAGACACGGCCCAGACUCCUACGGGAGGCAGCAGUGGGGAAUAUUGGACAAUGGGCGGAAGCCUGAUCAAGCCAUGCCGCGUGUGUGAAGAAGGCCUUUUGGUUGUAAAGAACUUUAAGCGAGGAGGAGGCUACCUGGAUUAAUACUCUAGGAUAGUGGACGUUACUCGCAGAAUAAGCACCGGCUAACUCUGUGCCAGCCGCCGCGGUAAGAC